rnacentral:rRNA from 1 species
AACGAACGCUGGCGGCAUGCCUAACACAUGCAAGUCGAACGAGACCUUCGGGUCUAGUUGCGCACGGGUGCGUAACGCGUGGGAACCUGCCCUUAGGUUCGGAAUAACUCCCCGAAAGGGGUGCUAAUACCGGAUAAUGUCUUCGGACCAAAGAUUUAUCGCCUUUGGAUGGGCCCGCGUUGGAUUAGCUAGUUGGUAGGGUAAAAGCCUACCAAGGCGACGAUCCAUAGCCGGUCUGAGAGGAUGAUCAGCCACACUGGGACUGAGACACGGCCCAGACUCCUACGGGAGGCAGCAGUGGGGAAUAUUGGACAAUGGGCGAAAGCCUGAUCCAGCAAUGCCGCGUGAGUGAUGAAGGCCUUAGGGUUGUAAAGCUCUUUUACCCGGGAUGAUAAUGACAGUACCGGGAGAAUAAGCUCCGGCUAACUCCGUG